AAGACCUUGCACUUUUGGAGCGGCCGAUGUCUGAUUAGCUAGUUGGUGGGGUAAUGGCCUACCAAGGCUUCGAUCAGUAGCUGGUCUGAGAGGACGGCCAGCCACACUGGGACUGAGACACGGCCCAGACUCCUACGGGAGGCAGCAGCGGGGAAUUUUGGACAAUGGGCGCAAGCCUGAUCCAGCCAUGCCGCGUGAGUGAAGAAGGCCUUCGGGUUGUAAAGCUCUUUCAGCCGGGAAGAAAAGGUUGCGACUAAUAAUCGCAAUCCAUGACGGUACCGAAAGAAGAAGCACCGGCUAACUACGUGCCAGCAGCCGCGGUAAUACGUAGGGUGCGAGCGUUAAUCGGAAUUACUGGGCGUAAAGGGUGCGCAGGCGGUUUUGUAAGUCAGAUGUGAAAUCCCCGGGCUUAACCUGGGAACU
rnacentral:rRNA from 1 species